rnacentral:lncRNA from 10 species
UCGGGAGGCUAUGGUGGACAGUUCUGUGAGUUUCAGCAGCAAUGCCACAUGACAUAAAGCAGUCAAGCAAUGUGAAAACUGAGACAAGCCCACUGGAUUUCAGAGAUACAGUGCGUGGCCAUAUGCCCAGCAGGCUCAGACGGAGAGGAACGGCUCCUGCAUCCUUGGGUCUAGUCUCCGCCAAGUUGGCGGUGGAGGCAGAGGAAGGCGUGGUGCUCUUACCCUGUUGUUUAAUGUGCAGAAGAUUUUAUGGGAGCCAUGGAUUAAUCGGCUCAAAAAAUACGAAGAGAUAUUUAUGGUAAGUUCAAGUUUCACAACCACUCAAGAGGUUUUUCACUUCAAAGGAUUUUAGUUCAAACCAGAGCUCGAUGUCUCAUUACCACAAACUUCGAUCUUUUGGCCUUCAAAGGUCUUGUCUCCUUGACUCAAUUCUUCACUUCAAUUUAUUUGUUUGAAAAUAUAUACUGAACCUGUAUCACGUGCCAAGUGCUGUGCUGGGUGAUGGAAAUAUACACACAAAUAAGACAUGGCCCCUGCCUGGGAAAAGUCAUGGUCCAAUAAGGGAGACACUGUUGGACAACAGGCUGUCUCCAAUCACUUUAUGAGCAAAAGCUACUUUUCUUUUACCUAAGUUUGUGGCUGAAAGCAGAGGUCAGGGCAGGACGUGAUGGCUCACGCCUGUAAUCCCAGCAUUUUGGAAGGCUGAGGCAGGUGGAUUACUUGAGUCCAGGAGUUGAAGACUGGCCUGGCCAACAUGGUGAAACCCCCUCUCUACUAAAAAUUCAAAACAAAUUAGCCAGGUGUGGUGGCUCGUGCCUGUAAUCCCAGCUACAUGAGGCUGAGGCAGGAGAAUCGCUUGAACCCGAGAGGUGGAGGUUGCAGUGAAUGGAGAUCAUGCCACUGAGAGGUGACAACAUGCUAGCAGCCCUCGCUCGCUCUGGGCGCCUCCUUGGCCUCGGCGUCCACUCUGGCCGCGCUUGAGGAGCCCUUCAGCCCGCCGCUGCACUGUAGGAGCCCCUCUCUGGGCAGGCUGAGGCCGGAGCCAGCUCCCUCUGCUUGCAGGCCGGUGUAGAGGGAGAGGAGUGGGCGGGAACCGGAGCUGCGCAGGGCGCUAGCGGGCCAGCGCGAGUUCCGGGUGGGCGCGGGAUCCGCAGGCCCCACACUCACAGCGGCCCGCCAGCGCUGCUGGCCGCGGGCAGUAAGGGGCUUAGCACCCGGGCCAGCAGCUGCAGAGGGUGCGCCAGGUCCCCCAGUACUGCCCGCCCGCCCGCGCCGCGCUUGAAUUCUCGCCGGGCCUCAGCCGCCUCCGCAGGGCAGGGCUCGGCACCUGCAGCCGGACAUGCGCGAGCCACCCCUCCUCCCCGGCAAUUGGCUCCUGCGCUGCCCUAGCCUCCCGGACACACACCGCCCCUGCUCGGCGGCGCCCGGUCCCAUCAACCGCCCAAGGGCCAUCUCUGUAAAAUGAACCAAUCAGCUCUCUGUAAAAUGGACCAAUCGGCUCUCUGUAAAAUGGACCAAUCAGCAGGAUGUGGGGGGGCGUGGGACGGGGGUGAGUGGUCAGAUAAGAGAAUAAAAGCAGGCUGUCCUAGCCAGUAGCGGCAACCCACUUGGGUCCCUUUCCACACUGUAGAGACUUUGUUCUUUCACUCUUUGCAAUAAAUCUUGCAGCUGCUCAGUUUUUGGGUCUGCACUGCCUUUAUGAGCUGUAACACCACAAAGGUCUGCAGCUUCACUCCUGAGGCCAGCGAGACCCCUAACCCACGGGGAGGAAUGAACAACUCCAGAAGCAACACUCACCGCGAAGGUCUGCAGCUUCACUCCUGAAGCCAGCGAGACCAUGAACCCACCAGAAUGAAGAAACUCUGAACACGUCCGACCAUCAGAAGGAACAAACUCCGGACACACCACCUUUAAGAACUGUUAACACUCACUGCGAGGUUCUGCGGCUUCAUUCUUGAAGUCAGUGAGACCAAGAACCCACCAAUUCCAGACACACCACCACACUCCAGCCUGGACAACAGAGCAAAACUCUGUCUCAGAGAAAAAAAAGCAGAGGUCAGCAAAUGGACCUGCAAGCCAGCUGCAUGUUCUUUUUUUUUUUUUUUUUUUUUUUGAGACAGAGUCUCACUCUGUCACCCAGGUUGGAGUGCGGUGGCAUGAUAUGGUCUCGGCUCACUGCAACCUCUGCCUCCCAAGUUCAAGUGAUUCUCCCGCCUCAGCCUCCUGAGUAGCUGGGAUUACAGGCGCGUGCCACCACACCGGGCUAAUUUUGUAUUUUUAGCAGACAUGGGGUUUCACUAUGUUGGCCAGGCUGGUCUCGAACUCCUGACCUCGUGAUCUGCCCACAUCGGGCUCCCAAAGUGCUGGGAUUACAGGCGUGAGCCACCAAGCCCAGCCACAUGUUCUUAUAAAUAAGGUUUUGCUGGAACAUAGCCACACAUAUUUGUUUAGGUAUUGUCUGUGGCUGCUUUUGCACUACAAUAGCAAGUCGGGUUUGCUCUGAGUAUGCAAUAGAGAUCAUACAGCUCCCAAAGCCUGAAACAGUUCAUGUGUUGCCCUUAAAGAAAAAGUUCGUCGACCCCUGGACUUAAGGAUAGGUGGAGGGCUGGUGGCAGGGAAAGCUAUGAAGGAAGGUAAAAGGAAAGAAAUUCCUGACAGUCAAGCCCCCGAGAAGAACAAUAAAAUGACAGUGUAUAAGUUGGCAUUUGGCUCAGCUGUGCAUAACAGAAAAUUCUAGGCUUAAACAAAAUAAAGAUUUUACGUCUCCUACAUGAAAGAGGUCAAGAGGUGGACAGCCUAAGUUUGGGUUUGGUGGCUUCAUGGUCACCAGGGAGCCAAAUUCCUUUUAUCUUUCUGCUCCCUGUCAUUCCUAGCAGGAGUUUUCCUUCCUCGUUUGUCUCAUGGCCCAGUAUAGCUGCUGGAGCUCUGGUAAUUACAUCUGUGUUCCAGAUAAACAGCGAAAAAUGAAGCAAAAAAGAAUCUACCUUUUAUCCUAGUCAAUUAUCUUUAAGAACAUGACCUGGAACUCCCACUCUAAAAUUUCCAUUUCUGACUCAUUGGCCACCCCUAGCUACAGGGAAAAUGGAGAUCUAGUCUUCCACAGCACCCUGUUCAUAAACCCUUCACAUUUUUUCCCACAGAACCAUAGAAGCGCGUAUAGAUGUUAGCAUGUUCAUAGCUAGGAUGUGAGAUCCUCUUAAUUGAGUUCCAAAAGGAACACUGUGAACAAGGCUCACUAGAAAAAAUAGGAAAACCUCUUCCCCGUCUUGCUAUUAAUGUAUUUGUUCAUUUUUUAAAUAUUUUUGAGCCUGUCCUGUGUUCCAGACACUGUGCUUGCCACUGCAACCCUCUUUCUUUUUUUUUCUUUUUUUUUUUUAUGUGUCUUUUUGUUGUUGUCGUUAUUUCAGAAAACAGUGGGAUAGAAGAAAGCUUUUAAGGUGUCAUCUAAACCAUUCAGUUAUUCCAUGAUUAAUUAUGUGAGUUGACUUUCCUUUACAUGACAUGCAUAUGUAACUGUUAGCAAGUAGUAUAUGUCUUUGGAUGGUAUGUCUUCCCAAAUGGUAUGGGUUAAAGUUGUUUUGUACUGUUGUUAAUGUAAAGGGAAUUUACAUCUUAUAAAAGCACCCAUCCAUUGUUAUAUUUGUUUACAUUUCUCUCCUCCAAUAAAUAGACUGUAACUCCUUAAGAACUUUGUGUUUGCUAACUGCAGGCACUUAAUAAAUGUUCAAUGAGGGAAUAAAAGAAUGGUCUUUCGACCUUCUGGUUGAGUACUCCCUGCCUUUAAAACUGAGCUUAGUGACUGUUUCCUGUUCUCUUGAGACAGAUAACAGAGAUGAGGAUAAUGCUUUCGUGUGUGCAGGACUUCAAAAUUUUCUAAGAGCUUUUCAC